rnacentral:rRNA from 1 species
AUGGGCGGCAGGCGUACACAUGCAGUCGAGCGGAUGAAAGGGAGCUUGCUCCUGGAUUCAGCGGCGGACGGGUGAGUAAUGCCUAGGAAUCUGCCUGGUAGUGGGGGAUAACGUCCGGAAACGGGCGCUAAUACCGCAUACGUCCUGAGGGAGAAAGUGGGGGAUCUUCGGACCUCACGCUAUCAGAUGAGCCUAGGUCGGAUUAGCUAGUUGGUGGGGUAAAGGCCUACCAAGGCGACGAUCCGUAACUGGUCUGAGAGGAUGAUCAGUCACACUGGAACUGAGACACGGUCCAGACUCCUACGGGAGGCAGCAGUGGGGAAUAUUGGACAAUGGGCGAAAGCCUGAUCCAGCCAUGCCGCGUGUGUGAAGAAGGUCUUCGGAUUGUAAAGCACUUUAAGUUGGGAGGAAGGGCAGUAAGUUAAUACCUUGCUGUUUUGACGUUACCAACAGAAUAAGCACCGGCUAACUUCGUGCCAGCAGCCGCGGUAAUACGAAGGGUGCAAGCGUUAAUCGGAAUUACUGGGCGUAAAGCGCGCGUAGGUGGUUCAGCAAGUUGGAUGUGAAAUCCCCGGGCUCAACCUGGGAACUGCAUCCAAAACUACUGAGCUAGAGUACGGUAGAGGGUGGUGGAAUUUCCUGUGUAGCGGUGAAAUGCGUAGAUAUAGGAAGGAACACCAGUGGCGAAGGCGACCACCUGGACUGAUACUGACACUGAGGUGCGAAAGCGUGGGGAGCAAACAGGAUUAGAUACCCUGGUAGUCCACGCCGUAAACGAUGUCGACUAGCCGUUGGGAUCCUUGAGAUCUUAGUGGCGCAGCUAACGCGAUAAGUCGACCGCCUGGGGAGUACGGCCGCAAGGUUAAAACUCAAUGAUGCG